rnacentral:rRNA from 1 species
GACGAACGCUGGCGGCGUGCUUAACACAUGCAAGUCGAACGGAAAGGCCCUGCUUUUGUGGGGUGCUCGAGUGGCGAACGGGUGAGUAACACGUGAGUAACCUGCCCUUGACUUUGGGAUAACUUCAGGAAACUGGGGCUAAUACCGGAUAGGAGCUCCUGCUGCAUGGUGGGGGUUGGAAAGUUGCGGCGGUUGGGGAUGGACUCGCGGCUUAUCAGCUUGUUGGUGGGGUAGUGGCUUACCAAGGCUUUGACGGGUAGCCGGCCUGAGAGGGUGACCGGCCCCAUUGGGCCUGGGGUGCGGCCCGGACUCCUACGGGGGGCAGCGGUGGGGGAUAGUGCACGAUGGGCGGAAGCCUGAUGCAGCAACGCCGCGUGCGGGAUGACGGCCUGCGGGUUGUAACCCGCUUUCGCCUGUGACGAAGCGUGAGUGACGGUAAUGGGUAAAGAAGCACCGGCUAACUACGUG